rnacentral:misc_RNA from 1 species
GUAGGUGAACCUGCGGAAGGAUCAUUAGAGAAACAAGCCCCUCGGUGGGCGAUUCUCCACCCUGUGUUUACAUCACGCUGUUGCUUUGGCGGGCCGUAGGGCUGUCAGUCCUCCACUGGCCUGUGCUGGUGUGUGCCUGUCAGAGGAUAUUUUACAUUCUGUUUAUCAUUGUUGUCUGAGCAUUAUACAAUCGUUAAAACUUUCAACAACGGAUCUCUUGGUUCUG